rnacentral:tRNA from 1 species
GGGGGUGUAGUUAACCAUAACAUUUAAAUUGCAAUUAAAAAGUGCCAAUAGGACUCCCUC